rnacentral:tRNA from 1 species
GCCUGGGUGGCUCAGUCGGUUGAGCGUCCGACUUCAGCUCAGGUCAUGAUCUCAUGGUUCCUGGGUUCGAGCCCCGCCUCGGGCU